rnacentral:rRNA from 1 species
CGCGCAGGCGGCCAGGUAAGUCGAAUGUGAAAGCCCCCCGGCUCAACUGGGGGAGGGUCAUUCGAUACUGCUUGGCUUGAAGGUAGGAGAGGGAAGCGGAAUUUCAGGUGUAGUGGUGAAAUGCGUAGAUAUCUGAAGGAACACCAGUGGCGAAGGCGGCUUUCUGGCCUAUUCUUGACGCUGAGGCGCGAAAGCUAGGGGAGCGGAACG